AGAAACGCAACUCGGAGCCGCGGAGUCUACGACGAGAGCAGCAGAAGCUGCUCCGAAAGCACCGACAGGACGCAAGCCCAACCUGGAACUCUUGCCACGUCGGACCAUGUCGUUGGGGUCGAGAGAGGUCUGGGAAGAAAAUAUGAAAAGUAACCAGUUGAAGGAAGGAGAAGCAAAGGACAGUCAGAAAUGAACCCGCACACAACAAGCGCAUUGCCAUUAAAUUGCAUGUUGGUUGUUGUCACUAACUCAUUUAUGACUGUCAUUGCGCUGCCAACUUAACUCGCAGCUUUUUGUUCAAAGAUAUUGUCAGU